rnacentral:rRNA from 1 species
CUUGAACGCUGGCGGCAUGCCUUACACAUGCAAGUCGAACGGCAGCACGGGAGCAAUCCUGGUGGCGAGUGGCGAACGGGUGAGUAAUGUAUCGGAACGUGCCCAGUCGUGGGGGAUAACGUAGCGAAAGCUACGCUAAUACCGCAUACGAUCUAUGGAUGAAAGCGGGGGAUCGCAAGACCUCGCCCGAUUGGGUGGGCCGAUAUCAGAUUAGGUAGGUGGUGGGGUAAAGGCCUACCAAGCCUGCGAUCUGUAGCUGGUCUGAGAGGACGACCAGCCACACUGGAACUGAGACACGGUCCAGACUCCUACGGGAGGCAGCAGUGGGGAAUUUUGGACAAUGGGCGCAAGCCUGAUCCAGCAAUGCCGCGUGCAGGAUGAAGGCCUUCGGGUUGUAAACUGCUUUUGUACGGAGCGAAAAGGCUCUCUCUAAUACAGGGGGCUCAUGACGGUACCGUAAGAAUAAGCACCGGCUAACUACGUGCCAGCCGCCGCCGUAAGAC